GGAGCGUUCUGUAAGCCUGCGAAGGUGUGCUGUGAGGCAUGCUGGAGGUAUCAGAAGUGCGAAUGCUGACAUAAGUAACGAUAAAGCGGGUGAAAAGCCCGCUCGCCGGAAGACCAAGGGUUCCUGUCCAACGUUAAUCGGGGCAGGGUGAGUCGACCCCUAAGGCGAGGCCGAAAGGCGUAGUCGAUGGGAAACAGGUUAAUAUUCCUGUACUUGGUGUUACUGCGAAGGGGGGACGGAGAAGGCUAUGUUGGCCGGGCGACGGUUGUCCCGGUUUAAGCGUGUAGGCUGGUUUUCCAGGCAAAUCCGGAAAAUCAAGGCUGAGGCGUGAUGACGAGGCACUACGGUGCUGAAGCAACAAAUGCCCUGCUUCCAGGAAAAGCCUCUAAGCAUCAGGUAACAUCAAAUCGUACCCCAAACCGACACAGGUGGUCAGGUAGAGAAUACCAAGGCGUUUGAGAGAACUCGGGUGAAGGAACUAGGCAAAAUGGUGCCGUAACUUCGGGAGAAGGCACGCUGAUAUGUAGGUGAAGUCCCUUGCGGAUGGAGCUGAAAUCAGUCGAAGAUACCAGCUGGCUGCAACUGUUUAUUAAAAACACAGCACUGUGCAAACACGAAAGUGGACGUAUACGGUGUGACGCCUGCCCGGUGCCGGAAGGUUAAUUGAUGGGGUCAGCGCAAGCGAAGCUCUUGAUCGAAGCCCCGGUAAACGGCGGCCGUAACUAUAACGGUCCUAAGGUAGCGAAAUUCCUUGUCGGGUAAGUUCCGACCUGCACGAAUGGCGUAAUGAUGGCCAGGCUGUCUCCACCCGAGACUCAGUGAAAUUGAACUCGCUGUGAAGAUGCAGUGUACCCGCGGCAAGACGGAAAGACCCCGUGAACCUUUACUAUAGCUUGACACUGAACAUUGAGCCUUGAUGUGUAGGAUAGGUGGGAGGCUUUGAAGUGUGGACGCCAGUCUGCAUGGAGCCGGCCUUGAAAUACCACCCUUUAAUGUUUGAUGUUCUAACGUGGACCCGUGAUCCGGGUUGCGGACAGUGUCUGGUGGGUAGUUUGACUGGGGCGGUCUCCUCCUAAAGAGUAACGGAGGAGCACGAAGGUUGGCUAAUCCUGGUCGGACAUCAGGAGGUUAGUGCAAUGGCAUAAGCCAGCUUGACUGCGAGCGUGACGGCGCGAGCAGGUGCGAAAGCAGGUCAUAGUGAUCCGGUGGUUCUGAAUGGAAGGGCCAUCGCUCAACGGAUAAAAGGUACUCCGGGGAUAACAGGCUGAUACCGCCCAAGAGUUCAUAUCGACGGCGGUGUUUGGCACCUCGAUGUCGGCUCAUCACAUCCUGGGGCUGAAGUAGGUCCCAAGGGUAUGGCUGUUCGCCAUUUAAAGUGGUACGCGAGCUGGGUUUAGAACGUCGUGAGACAGUUCGGUCCCUAUCUGCCGUGGGCGCUGGAGAACUGAGGGGGGCUGCUCCUAGUACGAGAGGACCGGAGUGGACGCAUCACUGGUGUUCGGGUUGUCAUGCCAAUGGCACUGCCCGGUAGCUAAAUGCGGAAGAGAUAAGUGCUGAAAGCAUCUAAGCACGAAACUUGCCCCGAGAUGAGUUCUCCCUGACCCUUUAAGGGUCCUGAAGGAACGUUGAAGACGACGACGUUGAUAGGCCGGGUGUGUAAGCGCAGCGAUGCGUUGAGCUAACCGGUACUAAUGAACCGUGAGG
rnacentral:rRNA from 1 species